ACUCAGUGAAAUUGAACUCGCUGUGAAGAUGCAGUGUACCCGCGGCAAGACGGAAAGACCCCGUGAACCUUUACUAUAGCUUGACACUGAACAUUGAGCCUUGAUGUGUAGGAUAGGUGGGAGGCUUAGAAGUGUGGACGCCAGUCUGCAUGGAGCCGACCUUGAAAUACCACCCUUUAAUGUUUGAUGUUCUAACGUUGACCCGUAAUCCGGGUUGCGGACAGUGUCUGGUGGGUAGUUUGACUGGGGCGGUCUCCUCCUAAAGAGUAACGGAGGAGCACGAAGGUUGGCUAAUCCUGGUCGGACAUCAGGAGGUUAGUGCAAUGGCAUAAGCCAGCUUGACUGCGAGCGUGACGGCGCGAGCAGGUGCGAAAGCAGGUCAUAGUGAUCCGGUGGUUCUGAAUGGAAGGGCCAUCGCUCAACGGAUAAAAGGUACUCCGGGGAUAACAGGCUGAUACCGCCCAAGAGUUCAUAUCGACGGCGGUGUUUGGCACCUCGAUGUCGGCUCAUCACAUCCUGGGGCUGAAGUAGGUCCCAAGGGUAUGGCUGUUCGCCAUUUAAAGUGGUACGCGAGCUGGGUUUAGAACGUCGUGAGACAGUUCGGUCCCUAUCUGCCGUGGGCGCUGGAGAACUGAGGGGGGCUGCUCCUAGUACGAGAGGACCGGAGUGGACGCAUCACUGGUGUUCGGGUUGUCAUGCCAAUGGCACUGCCCGGUAGCUAAAUGCGGAAGAGAUAAGUGCUGAAAGCAUCUAAGCACGAAACUUGCCCCGAGAUGAGUUCUCCCUGACUCCUUGAGAGUCCUGAAGGAACGUUGAAGACGACGACGUUGAUAGGCCGGGUGUGUAAGCGCAGCGAUGCGUUGAGCUAACCGGUACUAAUGAACCGUGAGGCUUAACCUU
rnacentral:rRNA from 1 species